rnacentral:lncRNA from 10 species
UUCUUAUCCAUACCUCCCUGCCAGAAAACCAUUGUCUCAUCUGUUUUUGAGCCCUCCUCUAAGAGUUCAUAACCAUUUCUUCACUUAGCAAAUACCCUCCAGGCAGCUACCAAAUGCAAGGCAAUGUUUUAAUGAAUGUGAAUCUUUAGGUCCCUGCUUUGUGGAGCUUCCAUUGUAGCCAGAGAAGGCAAGUUACAAUCUAUUCAACAAAUGAGCAAGAGAUUAUUCCUACUGAGCUCUACAAAGGAAAUUGCCCAGGGGUGGGACAGAGACCCUGAAGCAGGAAGGUGAUGCUGCCUCAGGUACUGAUAGAGCUGGCACAAGGACCCAGGAGACCUCCCACACAGCAUCCUUUCUACACCAAGACACAGCCUUGAUGACUCAUCCUCUGUUGACAUGAAUUUCCAAAUUAUUAGCUCUUUCCUGAGUAAUCAGUGACAUCUCAUCUUUCCUGGGUUUGCAUGGAGUCUUCUGGAAGAUUUGGGGUCAGUCUCUACAGCAGCUGCAUCUUAAUGUGAUCCCCCCAUGAGUCAAGCCUUGUGUGACCCUUCCCCUUGAGUGGAACCUGCGACUUGAUUCUAGCCAAUGGAGUAUGUCAGAGGUGAUGGGAUGCCCCUCACUAAAGGCACCUGAUUUAAUAUAUAUUGUUGAUUCGUUACAUUGAACAACUCGUGGCCAACAACGCCACAACUCAUGCCUGUGUGAAGCUUCUCUAACACACGGAUUUCCUCCAGGAAGCACAUCACAGCCUUCUCAUGCUUGGGAACACCAGACGGCUCUUCUGUGCUGUGCUUGGGACCAUCUUAAACAGUGAAAUCACUAUCAAAAACACAAAUUGGUGACAAACCAUGGCACUAAAUAGACUGUGAAAAGGACAAUUGUUUACAACGUGCGAGCUGGAGCAAGAAGGCAGAGCGUUGCUUUGCUCAACUCAGUGGGAUGUGUGCCUUGGGUGACUCAAAUGUUUCAAAGCUCUGUGCACAUCCACCAGUGAGCAUGAAAGCACCUCGGGUAUCAAUUUUGGGGUUACUAAUCGAUUUCAGCAGUGGGAGAAUUCACAAAUACGGAAUCUGUAAAUGAUGAGGAUGGGCUGUUUUGUUGUUUUCAGCUGCUGAGUUUGUGAUCACUUGUUAGGCAGCCAUCGCCAACUAACUCAGUCUCUCACUGCCGUCACUCUGCCUGCCGGCAAACCCCAGCCAAGCUCCCUCUCAGAAAUAAAAUUCUGUUUCCGGUGAA